rnacentral:rRNA from 1 species
AUUGAACGCUGGCGGCAGGCUUAACACAUGCAAGUCGAGCGGGGUGAUGGUGCUUGCACUAUCACUUAGCGGCGGACGGGUGAGUAAUGCUUAGGAAUCUGCCUAUUAGUGGGGGACAAGAUCUCGAAAGGGAUGCUAAUACCGCCUACGUCCUACGGGAGAAAGCAGGGGAUCACUUGUGACCUUGCGCUAAUAGAUGAGCCUAAGUCGGAUUAGCUAGUUGGUGGGGUAAAGGCCUACCAAGGCGACGAUCUGUGGCGGGGCUGAGAGGAUGAUCCGCCACACUGGGACUGAGACACGGCCCAGACUCCUACGGGAGGCAGCAGUGGGGAAUAUUGGACAAUGGGGGGAACCCUGAUCCAGCCAUGCCGCGUGUGUGAAGAAGGCCUUAUGGUUGUAAAGCACUUUAAGCGAGGAGGAGGCUCUUUUGGUUAAUACCCAAGAUGAGUGUACGUUACUCGCAGAAUAAGCACCGGCUAACUCUGUGCCAGCCGCCGCUGUAA